UCAAGAAGAACCCUUUAAGUCAACAAAGGUGAGCUCCAUCAUAAAAUCCUAUCGAUGGGCACCAUUUGUUCCAGUAGCAAUGGACAGUUCUAUGUUGAGUGUGUUGCUGCUGUUAUCAAAAUAUAGGCUGCGGAAUGUACCUGUGAUAGAAAGAGGAAGUCCAUACCUUAAGAACUUUAUAACUCAAUCAGCCGUGGUACGGGGUCUUGUAGGAUGCAAAGGGAGGGAUUGGUUUGACUGCAUCUCCGCUCACCCUAUAUCAGAACUUGGCCUCCCAUACAUGUCCGCUGACGAGGUUAUUAGUGUCCGAGACGAUGAACUGAUUCUGGAAGCAUUCAAGAAAAUGAGAGAUAAUAAUAUCGGAGGUCUGCCGGUUGUUGAAG
rnacentral:misc_RNA from 1 species